rnacentral:rRNA from 1 species
GAUGAACGCUAGCUACAGGCUUAACACAUGCAAGUCGCGGGGCAGCAUGGGGGUUGCUUGCAAUCCCCGAUGGAGACCGGCGCACGGGUGAGUAACGCGUAUCCAACCUGCCCUUCACCACGGGAUAACCCGGCGAAAGUCGGACUAAUACCGUAUGUUGUCCAUUGACGGCAUCCGAUUUGGACGAAAGGCUUGGCGGUGAGGGAUGGGGAUGCGUCCGAUUAGCCAGACGGCGGGGUAACGGCCCACCGUGGCUACGAUCGGUAGGGGUUCUGAGAGGAAGGUCCCCCACACUGGAACUGAGACACGGUCCAGACUCCUACGGGAGGCAGCAGUGAGGAAUAUUGGUCAAUGGGCGUAAGCCUGAACCAGCCAAGUAGCGUGCAGGAUGACGGCCCUAUGGGUUGUAAACUGCUUUUAUGCGGGGAUAAAGUGGCCCACGUGUGGGCUUUUGCAGGUACCGCAUGAAUAAGGACCGGCUAAUUCCGUG